CGUUACACUUGAUUGCAGUGCAUAGGAGGGUAUUCCCUCUUUUGUGGAGUUUCGAAUUUUAUGGUCUAGAAUUCACAUCUAGUAGUUUGUUAACCAGAUUCUGGAAUAGUAGUUUACUGCUACAAAAAAGGAGGAAUUCUGUAAAAUGGGCUUCUCAGUUCUAAGUGAAAAUUUGUGGACACCCUUCUGUUGUUUUUUCUUCGUUUUCACGGUAUUCGCGACUGCUGCCCUUGUAACAGCUAUUUGUCAGCCUGCACGUUCAUAUAACAUUUAGGAAGCUCUUACCUUUGUCGAGGAUGAACUUUUCCUCUAUCUUUGAAAACUCGUCGAUUUUAUUUCUACCCUAAGGCUGUCUCGGGGCCGUAUCAGAGAUGAUCAAAAAUAUGGAAAGUUCGUCAACAACCCUCUUUUGGAAACGUUUUCACCCUCGACCGCGAAGAUCCUCGGCUUCAACUUCAACCCCACAUUUGCUCCAUCUGCGGAUGCCGUUACAAACAUGCCCGCAGCUUGAGGGACCAUGAAAAAUCGCAUAACACGGAAUUCCUGUGCAAGUUGUGCCAGAAGAACUUCUCCCUCAAGUCCAACUACACAAGACAUAUGCUCCUCGCUCACCAAAU